rnacentral:rRNA from 1 species
UACGAAGGGUGCUAGCGUUGUUCGGAAUCACUGGGCGUAAAGCGCGCUUAGGCGGCUUAGCAAGUCAGGGGUGAAAUCCCACAGCUUAACUGUGGAACUGCCUUUGAAACUGCUAAGCUAGAGUGUCGGAGGGGAUGGCGGAAUUCCUAAUGUAGAGGUGAAAUUCGUAGAUAUUAGGAGGAACACCGGUGGCGAAGGCGGCCAUCUGGACGACAACUGACGCUGAGGCGCGAAAGCGUGGGGAUCAAACAGG